CAGCAUCCCCUUCAUGUCCUUCGACAUAGGCUCCACUGCAGCGUCCACCUCCUUCGGGCCAAUGAAAGCUUCCAUAGGGCUCGUCGUGUCGCUCGCCGAUGGCGGGGACGAGCAUCGCGGCCUCAUAGCGUACCUUUUCAACAAAAUCAUAUUUUUUUGUCUCUUUCGUCUUCGAUCUUCCAAAUCUGAUUACAGUGAUGAUGUGGGUGUGUGGGCGAAGCUCUGAUUCCCUUGUUAGAGUUUCGUGAGAAGGAGGUGAUGCACCAUUAUGAGGUGGAUACUGAUGCCGAGGUCUUGAAGUUUCUAGGGAGAACCAAAGGCAUAUCCUGUAACCCCUUGGAGUUGAAAGGCUUGCCAUGAGGUAUAAUACAUGCUGAUUCAGAUUUGGAGUUAAGACCAUUAUGGUCGAGAAGCAGUUCAAGGUCAAAGAAGCAAAACAAUUGUAUUCUUAAGUGAGAUUAUGGAUCAGAAAGCAGGGGAUGGCAGCAGUGUGAAGAAAAUAAUAUCAUCAUGUGAUGUUGAGGCUUUGAAGAAGUGUUUGGAAGAGAAUAAGGGAGACUAUGUCAAAUGUCAGUCACAGAUUGAGGCUUUUAAAGCAUCAUGCUCGCUCAAGAAACCAAACCCCUCUUGAUUUUGUCAAUUCUUGUUUUCAUCUUGAAAUUCUGUGAUUGACAUUCAUGGUUUGUUUCAAAUGGCUCUUUUAUAUGCUUGUUCUAAUGAUAAAAUGCCAUCAUGUCUUAUGAUCAGCAAAUAUGUUGAUCAUUGUUCAUAG